CAGCCGCCGCGGUAAUACAGAGGGUGCGAGCGUUAAUCGGAUUUACUGGGCGUAAAGCGUGCGUAGGCGGCUUCUUAAGUCGGGUGUGAAAUCCCUGAGCUUAACUUAGGAAUUGCAUUCGAUACUGGGAAGCUAGAGUAUGGGAGAGGAUGGUAGAAUUCCAGGUGUAGCGGUGAAAUGCGUAGAGAUCUGGAGGAAUACCGAUGGCGAAGGCAGCCAUCUGGCCUAAUACUGACGCUGAGGUACGAAAGCAUGGGGAGCAAACAGGAUUAGAUACCCCCGUAGUCCCUGUCUCUUAUAC
rnacentral:rRNA from 1 species